GACGAACGCUGGCGGCGUGCUUAACACAUGCAAGUCGAACGGAAAGGCCCUGCUUUUGUGGGGUGCUCGAGUGGCGAACGGGUGAGUAACACGUGAGUAACCUGCCCUUGACUUUGGGAUAACUUCAGGAAACUGGGGCUAAUACCGGAUAGGAGCUCCUGCUGCAUGGUGGGGGUUGGAAAGUUUCGGCGGUUGGGGAUGGACUCGCGGCUUAUCAGCUUGUUGGUGGGGUAGUGGCUUACCAAGGCUUUGACGGGUAGCCGGCCUGAGAGGGUGCCCGGCCCCAUGGGGCUGGAGAUCCGCCCCAGCCCCCUCCGGGGGGCACCGGUGGGGAUUAUUGCACAUUGGCGGAAGCCUGAUGCAGCAACGCCGCGUGCGGGAUGACGGCCUUCGGGUUGUAAACCGCUUUCGCCUGUGACGAAGCGUGAGUGACGGUAAUGGGUAAAGAAGCACCGGCUAACUACGUG
rnacentral:rRNA from 1 species